ensembl:lncRNA
CCGGGGAUGGUGAUGGACAGGGAGGUCUGGCGUGCUGCGAUUCAUGGGGUCUCAAAGAGUCGGACACGACUGAGUGACUGAACUGAACUGAACUAUGCUUUCACUUAGGCUUUCUUCUUCUGGGAUAUCAUAAUCCAUGUAAUCAAUCUUCUUUGUCUUCAAUAUUUGUCAUUUCUUCGUGAAUCCCUUUCAACUCCUACUUUGUUGACUUUUUAAUUUUCCUCUUUUCACCUUCUGUUUCUUUUAAGGAACAUGUAUUGGGUUUCUUCACUCUUGUGCUCCUUUUAGUUUCUUUUUCCCUUUUGAAAUGAUUUUUUUUUAUUUUUUACUGUUUGCUGAGUUCUGUCACCUCAUUUCUGAGUUUUUCUAAUUGUGAAAUAUUUUGUUCUUUCACGUCUCGUAACGUUCUUUUAAUUAUCUGUGAGUGGUUUUGUAAUAGUAGAUCACUGUUCUGAUCUGACUUGUAGACAUGUCUUUCAGCAUAGGGAUGUUAUUCUACUUCUUACUAUCUUUUUCUUAUACCAAGUUUGUAUGGGAUUUGAAUUUGAUACUUUCUUUUAAUAUGAAAAUGGUUUUCCUGGGCAGCUAGAGUAAGCAAGGCACAGGACACCUUCUCCAAUAUUAGAGUUUCCUCUUGAGUUGUUUCUAUGUGAUGCUUAAAAACAUGGUGGCUUAUCUUCUGAACUCUUUUUGUUUCUGUUACCACACACAACUUCAGUCUGUACCUUCUCUCUCUCUUUAGUCUCUAUUGUCUCUAUCUUGGUCAACUUUGAUUAUAUUCCCAGAAGUUUCUCCUCAGUGUGGAUCCCUGACCAUUUGGAAGGUUCAUGGGGCUGGGUUUCUCCACACCGUCAGUCCAUCUUCCUUCAAGGCCCUUGCUAGUGGAGAGAGCAAAGCCUCUGCAAGUGUCAGCCGCUCUUCUCUAAGUAGCCCAUGUUGCUUUCCAGUGAACGCCUGUCGGUUACUUUACGGGUCUCCUCUUCCCUGUUGCUUCCCUCUUCCUCCUACACAGAUGCUGUUUGUGUUUUGUGGCUCAUGGUGGGUUAGCCCCAUCCACCUAUAGUUCAGGGUCUGUAGGAAAACUUCUCCAUUCCAUAAAUGGAAUCCAUGAACUUUGGGUUCUGCUAUCUGGUUUCUCGGACUGCUUUUAUGUGAAAAAUAAAAGAGACUGAAAAACCAUGCUGCUGUCAUCACCCUCUCUCCAGAAUUCUCCAUCUGAAAUUUUUGUAUUAAGGUAGAAGUCCAGCUUCCA